rnacentral:lncRNA from 1 species
GCGCAUGCGUAUGUGGUGUAUCCCGUCAUGGACGCAGUCUGUAAAGUAUUGCUGAGUUUCAUGCUUUUUUUUUUUUUUUUUUUUUUCUUUCCUUUCCAGAUUUUUCCACAUUUUCCAGACUUUUUUUAUGGCUUUACCAGCUGAGAGGGUAUUGAGAAAACUAGGUCAGAUUAUUUUUAGUAACGCUCCCUUCGUCGUGUGUUGACUUUAAGGACAGCUAGUCUUGUAUCCACUUCCUGUUAACCUUUCACCCCGUUGAUUUGCGUCCCUACGGUAGAGCUCACCCUGACCUUUGAGCCACACGUGGUAGUGGUAGGGUGGGUUCUAACCCUCGACUUUGGGCCGAUUAGUUCAAUGUUUGGACAACUUCUGCCCCGGUUUACUUCUUUAAUGAAAAGAAUUCGUGUCGAACAGUGAAUUGGGAUGAAUUUAGAGACGUUUCCUAAGAUUGUUCAGUAUAAUGUUUAUUCAAUAAAGAUUAGUUACCAUUUUAUGCCUUGCCCUUUUUUUAAUAGAGGUAACUCUACCAGAAUAUAAAGACCUCCCUGCUCUCUGUUAAAAGAGCUACAAUUCUUUCAGUAAUCAUAAGACUCUUCAGAGAACAAUGUUAACUAAUAAAUGAUUAUUGCUCUUUUAUCCUCUAAUCAGUUUUUUGAGACUGGAUCUCAAUUUAUAGGCAGACUAUCCUGAAACUGGAUAUAUAACCCAUGAUCACCGUGAACUCCCACUUUUUAUGCUUCCAACCUCUCCGUUGCAUGCAUUGGAAUUCUUUCUGUGCUGUUAUGCUUUAAGCACUUCUUUGGGCCAACUUAGGUUCAUGAAUAGAGUAGGCAAACUGUUUUGUGGGGUUUUUUCCUACGUAAUGGUAGUUACACAGUAAUGCAUGCUUAGAGAAAAAUGGGCAUUUAAGUUUGCAUGUCAGUUACUAACCAGUCAGUUGUUUCUGUCUAGCUUGUUUUAAAAUGUCUUAUGUAUGGGUGUUUUGCCUGAAUGUGUAUCUGUGCACUUUGUGACUACAGUACCUGCAGAGGCCAGAAGAGGGCACUGGAUCCCCUGGAACUGGAGUUAACAAAUCUUGUAAGAUACAUGGAUGCUGGAAAUCAAACCCAAGUCACCUGGAAAAGCAGCCAGUGUUCUUUGUCACCAGCCCUGUUUCUAUCCACUUUUAAAAUACUGUCCGUGGAUCCUAGUAUCAGUAUCAGCUGAGACUUGUUAGAAAUGUAAAUUAAUAUCUUUCCUAUUUAUUUGGGAUUUUUUUUUUUUUUUCAGAGACAGGUUUUCUCUGUGUAGCCCUGGCUGUCCUGGAACUCACUCUGUAGACCAGGUUGAUCUUGAACUCAGAAAUUCACCUGCCUCUGCCUCGCAAGUGCUGGGAUUAAAGGGUACAUUACCACCACCACUUUUAUCCACUCUUAUGACUCUCUCUCUCUCUCUCUCUCUCUCUCUCUCUCUCUCAUAGGAGGUCUCACUGUAUAACCCUCCUGAAUUCAUUGUGUGGAUCCAGCCGGUCUCCAAUUCACAGAGAUCCUUCUGCUUCUGCCCCCAGCGAGCUGCGAUUAAAAGCAUAUGCU